UAGGGAAUCUUCCACAAUGGGCGAAAGCCUGAUGGAGCAACGCCGCGUGUGUGAUGAAGGGUUUCGGCUCGUAAAACACUGUUGUAAGAGAAGAAUGACAUUGAGAGUAACUGUUCAAUGUGUGACGGUAUCUUACCAGAAAGGAACGGCUAAAUACGUGCCCGC
rnacentral:rRNA from 1 species